rnacentral:rRNA from 1 species
CCUACGGGAGGCACAGCCGCGGUAAUACGUAGGGUGCGAGCGUUGUCCGGAAUUACUGGGCGUAAAGAGCUCGUAGGUGGUUUGUCGCGUUGUUCGUGAAAACUCACAGCUUAACUGUGGGCGUGCGGGCGAUACGGGCAGACUGGAGUACUGCAGGGGAGACUGGAAUUCCUGGUGUAGCGGUGGAAUGCGCAGAUAUCAGGAGGAACACCGGUGGCGAAGGCGGGUCUCUGGGCAGUAACUGACGCUGAGGAGCGAAAGCGUGGGGAGCGAACAGGAUUAGAUACCCCUGUAGUCC